GUCCACCAUGAGGGCUCUUUAUCUUGUGAUGGUUGUCAUGAUGUUGUUUGCCGCCUCCAUGAUUGUUGAAGGGUAUAAAAAAGCGGCCCCAAGCUGUCAUGGACAUGGAGGCUAUUGCUCCAAACAGUGUGGGAAGUACGAUACUGCCCUUAAAGGUUAUGACUGCACCAACUGCUGUUUUCAUGGCAAGAAGGGCUGAAGAGGAGAGAAGGUGAUGUCCUAACAGCUGAGAAGGGCUGAGACAAUCUAAGGCCACUGUCCAGCUUCCAAGAAGGCAUUGUGUCUUGUUUUCCUCAAUAAAUACACAUGAAU
rnacentral:lncRNA from 11 species